rnacentral:rRNA from 1 species
AUUGAACGCUGGCGGCAUACUUUACACAUGCAAGUCGAACGGUAACAGGCCGCAAGGUGCUGACGAGUGGCGAACGGGUGAGUAAUGCAUCGGAACGUGCCCAGUCGUGGGGGAUAACGCAGCGAAAGCUGCGCUAAUACCGCAUACGAUCUAUGGAUGAAAGCGGGGGACCGAAAGGCCUCGCGCGAUUGGAGCGGCCGAUGUCAGAUUAGGUAGUUGGUGGGGUAAAGGCUCACCAAGCCAACGAUCUGUAGCUGGUCUGAGAGGACGACCAGCCACACUGGGACUGAGACACGGCCCAGACUCCUACGGGAGGCAGCAGUGGGGAAUUUUGGACAAUGGGCGCAAGCCUGAUCCAGCAAUGCCGCGUGCAGGAAGAAGGCCUUCGGGUUGUAAACUGCUUUUGUACGGAACGAAACGGUCCGGGCUAAUACCCUGGGCUAAUGACGGUACCGUAAGAAUAAGCACCGGCUAACUACGUGCCAGCCGCCGCGGUAAAAC